GCUAAGCCACUGGCCAGGAGAUGAUGCUGAAUAGGGAGAGUUCAGGCUUUUGAGACCGCCUGCCCUGAGUAGGAAUCCUGUCCCUGAAAAAUGCUAAGCGUUUGACCCUGCACAGGUUUAAUAACCAGCCUUAGUCUCACCUGAAAAGUAGGAAUAACAAUAAUCACCUUGAAAAUAUGUGUCAGGAUUAAGGGAGUUCACAUCUGUCAAACUUUAGCACGAAGAGGCAUUCAUUUCAUAUUCAUUGAUAUAAUAUGAAUGGUACCAUAUUCAUUCUUACUAUUUCAUCCAAAUGAGAAGAGAACUUUCAGAGAGAAUGGAAUAGAAGAAGUCAAGAUUGGACAGGACAUGAGUUAGGAGAGAGGGUGAUGGCUUGGACCAAGGUGAUGGUCCUGGAGACAAAGAGAAAUUUGCAGCUUUCAGAUGUGUUUUUACAUGGAAGGAAGAACUGACCAGACAUGCUGAUGGGCUGAACAAGAGGAAUCCAGCCUAAGGAGACAGUCAGAAGUGCUCACCAAGAUUCAGAGGUUCUUCAUUGCCUUACCAUAUUUGUAAGUCACAAACUGGAAGCUACCACAGGGUCCAGCCUUAUGAGAGUGGUGCAGUCAAUCCCAGAUCUUCCAUAUGACAGGGAGCUGGUCAUCCUUCAAAGUGCUGCUUACUAAGAUGACAAUGAGACU